GGGACUUGUGCUCGCUCCGCCAGGAGGCCGAGGGCGUCUUUAGUUCGUUAACAGAGGAGCAGGCGGAGGCGGGUGGAAUUUAGGAGGUUUGUUUCAAAGGCUCAGGGCGCUGUACCGCCACGCCAGCCCUGUCCCACCUGGGACUCCCUAGAAGGGUCAGAGCAUCAAUGAGGACGGUGUCCGCCCCGAGACCCUGCAGGAGCCGGGGACAUUGCCCACUCCUCGGACCCUGCAGGACUUGGGAAGGUGUCUGCUCUCGCGACCCUAAGGGCAGUGCACUCUUAGUCUGGGUCAGCUUAGGGUUAUCUGUCUUCACUUUGGAGAUUUACCAGAUGUUCUUACGCUUCACUUCGUUGUUCAACGACAGAUACAAAAAUAUAAAGUUAAUUUUCUUCCAGCGAAUUUUUUCCCUUUAUUUUAACAUCUAUACCCCAACUUUGACAUUUUCAAAUUAAACAUUCUGUUAUUUUAACAUCAUGAAUUAUUAAGUGUAUAUACUUUAAUUGCAUAUGUUAGCUCUUGAACUAGUUUAAUGUUUCUAAAAAUAGUUCUAGUGGUGGACUUUUUUUUUUUUUUAAUAGCUUUAACCCCUCCCAGAUCUUUCUUAAAAUCUUUCCACAGUGUGGUCAUUUCUGCUUAUGCUACUUAACAUGCAUUCUCUCAUUUCAGUGUAGAAGGUCAUGGUUUCUUCUUAUGGGAAAACAUUUCUUUCAUUGAUAUUUUUCUCUAUUCUUCCUGUAUUCAACUCCAGGAACAUCCCGUUAGGUAGAUAGUGCAUCUUCCUCUCUUUUGUGUUUCUCAACCUUCCUCUCAAAACAUCACGACUGUUGUUGCUGAGUUUGGGAAAUCUCGGGCUUGGCUUUCCUGGUUUUUUUUUUUUUUUUUUAAGACGAUGUCUCGCUCUGUCGCCCAGGCUGGAGCACAAUGGUGGGACCUCGGCUCACUGCAACCUCCGCCUCCUGGGUUCAAGCUAUUCUCCUGCCUCAGCCUCCCGAGUAGCUGGGAUUACAGGUGUUCGCCACCUCACCUGGCUAAUUUUUUUUGUAUUUUUAGUAGAGACGGGGUUUCACCAUGUUGGCCAGGCUAGUUUUGAACUCCUGACCUCAAGUGAUUUACCCGCCUGGGCCUCCCAAAGUGCUGGGAUUACAGGCAUGAGCCACCGCACCCAGCUGGUGUGAUGGUUUUCAUCUGUGUCCAUUCUCACUCCCCUGUGUUUGUUCAGCUAUUUUCAACAGGACCUUUCAGUUACAGGGAAUAGAUCUGUCCUCUUCAGUUCAGCCUGUUACUGUGUAUCUCCCUGAUGAUAUUUCGUUACUAUGUGAAACAUCACUCUUAUUAAUUUCCAUGGGUUAGUUUCAUCGUCAGUCCUGUCUGGUGCCUGCCUUUCUUUUGUGGUGUCUGUUUUCUUGUAACUUCUGUAAUUUGGGGUCAAACUCUUUUUGCUAUUAAUAUUAACCACAGCCUAUCUACGGUCACUGGGAUUUUUUCUCUUCAUCUUCCCCUCAGCCGCCCUCCCAGAUCUUUCAUAUAUUGUGCGCCCUGGCACCCAAGUUUCCAAAAUUGUUAAAACUCUGGCCCUCAGCAGCUUCACUUUCAGUCCCAGGACAUUCAUCUUCCACAUUCCUCCCGCCCUGCCGUUCUGAACAACGCUAGGCUGCCGGACAUUUAGACGUGAAGCUUGUGCAAUGUCGCCAGUCUGAGAUGUGCUUUAAUUUCAAACAUACACCAUCUUUCAAAGACUUUGUACCAAAAUGUAAAAUACAUUAUCAACAAUUGUAUUAUUUUGCUUACAUGUUGAAAUUAUAUUUUGGACAUACUGGACCAAAUAAAAUAUAUCAAUAAAAUUAAUCUCUUUCUCUUUGCUAUUUUAAUGUGGCCAGUAGAACAUGGCCUGCUCUCUCUGUUGGUAUGUGAAUGCUGACAUGGACUCUAUUCCAUUUACCUGGAAUUUUGUGCUUCCAGAAAAGACUGGAUGAAGCCCCUCCCCUCCCUUCCCCUUCCCUCGCCACCCUUCUCUUCUCUUCCCUUUCCUUUUUUUUUUUUUUUUUUUUUUUUUUUUGCGUUUUGCUCUUGUUGCCUAGGCUGGAGUGCAGUGGCAGGGUCUCGGCUCACUGCAACCUCUGCCUCCUGGGUUCAAGCGAUUCUCCCUGCCUCAGCCUUCCGAGUAGCUGGGAUCACCGGCGUGUGCCACCAUGCCAGGCUAAUUUUGUAUUUUUAGUAGACACGGGGUUUCACCAUGUUGGCCAGGCUGGUCUCGAACUCCUGACAUCAGAUGAUCCGCCUGCCUUGGCCUCCCAAAGUGCUGGGAUUACAGGCGUGAGCCACCACGCCUGGCCCAAUUUUGUUUAUUUCUAAAAUAGCUAUUUAAUCCACAUACAAUUGGUUUUCAAGAGCUUUAUUAAUGGGUAAAAUAAGUUUGUGAGCUGUAAUGUUUUCUACAAAUUAAAGCCAGUACUUGAUAGCUUUCUUGUUCUUUGCAUUGCUCAGGUCCCAGCAGGCAGCUGAUUGUUUAGAUGGAGAGACCACAGGGGAGAGUUACCUGUUGCUGUGGGAGCAAUGAGGAGUUAUGGAGGAAAGGAGAGGUACCAAGACCAGAUGAGGACUGAACAUUAGACUUCCCAUGAUUGCAGAACUGUCCUUCGCUGCAGCUGUAAAAUCGCGGCAAGGCAGGAUUCAUCCUGGUGGUGGGUGCAGGCCCUGAUUCCCGUCACUGAGCAGGGAUACAGCAGGAAGCUCCACCUCUGAGCACAGCAAGGGGAUUGUUCUGAUUCUGAGUGUGUCUGUUUGCUAGAGCGGUGGCCACACUUCCCCGGUUCUGCAAUUGUGGAUAAUUUAGCAUGACUUGUUGGGCAUUGCAAAUAUCAUGUCGUGGAGAGUCUGGGCUCUGUUAUUUUUUCCAGCUGUGUGUGUGUGUGUGUGUGUGUGUGUGUGUGCAUGCACGCGCACGCGUGUGUGUGAUGAGACCAUUAAGUUGGUUUGACAGACUGCAAACUGCCUGUUGAACAGCAGCUGAAUUCUUAAUUUGGUUCUUUUAUCCUUCUUGUGUUUCGUGGAGUUUGCCUCACACAUUCAGCGUUCGGAUGUCAACUGGAGUUCUGGAUGGAAGUUAUACACAGAAUUUGGGGUUCUCCAUCUCUGAUUCUCUCCUUCCUUCUCAAUUUUUAGCAGGCAUAUUCCCAAUUUCUUCAGGAGGGAAAGACCAAGGGUUUCCUGUUGGUGUUUUGGCAACUCCGCAUGGCAUGGCGUCAGACUCACCCUAAGCUAAAAACCAUAAAAGCCCUCUUUCCCUUUGUUUCUUCCACACAUCACACUCCCCUCCCAUAAUCCAUGCUUUUCAUCUCCACUCACUUUUUAUAUUUGCUCAUUGUCUAGAUAUUCCCUGCAGGAGAGUGACAUUAGACGGGCUCACUUGGCCACCAUGGGAAGCAGAAAUCCAGAGAUGGACACAUUCCCUAAAUGCUUCUAUGCUGCCCUGUAGGAGAGGUGUUACUCUACUCACAUUGCCGUGAGGAAACUGAGGCUCAGAAGUAGCAUCCUUUGUCUGAAAGGACAUAGCUCGUGAGCGCUGGAAGCAUAGUUUGGUGUCUGACUUGGCCAAUUCCAAAGCUUGUGUGAUUUGCACCAGCACUCAGAUGCAUUCUUCCCUCUCCCUCCCUACCCAAGAAAAAUGCUAUCCCUCCCUUUUCCUCUAAUUAGAAAAUUCUUUUGUAUAGUAGGAGAUUAUUAGGAAAUAAUCAUUUCUCUCCAAAAGUAACACACUGAGGAGGCAGUAUCUGAGGGUUUUGCCCAAAUAUGGCCUUUCAACCUCUGAAUUCAUGCCUACAGAAAUUCCAAGAUGUUUGUCAUAGCAUUUUUAUUCUAACCCUCCUUAAUGAGUGAUACAGUUUGCCUGUGUCCCCACCCAAAUCUCAUCUUGAAUUGUAGCUCCCAUAAUCCCCAUGUGUCAUGGGAGGGACCCCAUGGGUGGUAGUUUAUUCAUGGGGGCAGUUACCCUCAUGCUGUUUUGCUAAUAGUGAGUGAGUUCUCAUGAGAUCUGAUGGUUUUAUAAGGGGCUUUUCCCCCUUUUGCUGGGCACUUCUCCUUGCUGCCGCCACGUGAAGAAGGAUGUGUUUGCUUCCCCUUCUGCCAUGAUUGUAAGUUUCCUGUGGCCUCCCCAUCCCUGAGGAACUGUGAGUCAAUUAAAGCUCUUUUCUUUAUAAAUUACCCAGUCUUGAGCAGUUCUCUAUAGCAGCAUGAGAAUGGACUAAUACAAUGGGUUGGAAACAUCAAGGACUCCAAAGCAACUUUUCUGAUCACUGAAAAUGGCUCACACUAGGGACACGAAGGCAAGGUUUGCAGCUUCCUGCCCAUGUCUGUUCUAUGCCUGACUGGCUGUGCCCAACUUAUACAGGCUGGACUCAUCUUUCCUUCUGUCUCUAUGGCAACCCUCUCAGAGAGCCAGCAGGGGCAAAUCUCUGCUCUCCUAUAACCUUGGGGCCUCUGGCUACCUUCAAGGCAGCCACUUUUAUUUUCUCUAACAAUUCAGGGCAGGUAGGGAAGACUUGUGGGUGUCCCAGACACUGGACAGUGAUUACUGGGGUUUACCAUCCUACUUGUUUGUAAUGCACUCUAGCUCACUCAAGUGUAAUUUUAAAUGCAGUUGUUAAAUGGCAAUGAAAUUUCCAGUUCCACUUAAAGCAAUCAUAGCUCAUUCUUACUGAAUUAAAAGACCCAGGCUACCCUGCUGGGUAUGGUUUACCUUGUGUUCACUUAGGUGUACCUGCUAUUCUCCUGGCAUCACAGAGAGACAAAAGUCCCCAGGAUGGAUGGUACAAGUAUGAAACGCCUGCUUGAGAUGAGAAGCCAAAAUCAGGGGAUUAUUCCUGAGGCUUUAAUAUGCAGAUUGGUCUUUGGAGUUCAUUGAUUGUUAGGGCAGUUUCUCUGACAUAAAAAUUAAUCUUCAGAAAUUUACACACUCAUAGAGAAUGAAGCUGGCAGGAUUUAGCCUGCCCAGUGUACAUUUCUCAUUGGUGCAAAUUCACAUCUUGACAUAUGUUGAUAAGUUUAGGCUGAUGUGUCUUGUAAUGAUGUUGGUAUUCAGGGAAGUUUAUGCCAAUCUUCACGUGAAGUGGUCCUUCCUUAGGAAUUGCUGUGGUUCUCUGACUUUCUGCACUACUGUAUGACUUCCUGGGCCACCAUAAUGAGACACUACAGCCUGGGCAGCUUGAACAGCAGAAACUUAUUUCUUUACAGUUCUGGAGGCCAAAAGUCUAACAUUAUUAAGACAUUGACAGGUUGGUUCUUUCUGAGGCCUUUCCCUUUGGCUUGCAGACACAUCUCCCCAUGUGCACACAGGGUCAUCCUCCUGUGUGUGUCUUUGUCCUGAUCUUCUCUUCUUAUAAGGACUCCAGUCAGGUAGGAUCGAGGCCCACCCUUAUAUGCUCAUUUAACUCACUUUCCUUUCAAAGGCCUCGUCUCCAAUCACUGCAGCCUUCUGAGAUGCGGGGUUUGGACCUGACAUAUAAAUUUGGGGACACAAGUUGGCCCACAACACCACCAAGGGUACCACUGAGCACAGACAGAACUUGGUUCUCUUUCCAUUUUCUUCUCUCAAAUUUUAUAAGCUUGUGGAAUAUCAAAAAGAAAAUGGACCUUAGAUCAGGGAAGAUUUUAUGUGAAUAUGAGUUCUCACUUGGAAUGACCUUAGAAUACUGUUUUUUGAUUAUCAAAGCCUCAGCUUGCCUUUGUGAGAAUAAGGACAAUAAUACUUUUCUAAUGUGUGGUUUUAAGGAUUUGGGAUGAAAUGCCUUAAAUGCCCAGCUCUGUGCCAGGCACAUGGCACAUGCCUAAUAAAGACCAACCAUUAGGACUCGAAUGUUGUUGCCUCCUCUAAAGAUGAAGGUGUUUAUCUUGCUGUCCUCAGGGGGUCCUCUUUUUAUCUCUUUUCUUUUUAGUUCAUGAGACCAACACUGUUUAUUUACAAAUAUUUUCUGCACAUGUUGAUGUAAUGUAAAUGGAAAACACAGUGCUGCUUCCUUUAUUUUUUGGAUGGUGAUAUGGUUUGGCUUUGUGUUCUCACCCAAAUCUCAUGUCAAAUUGUAAUCCCCACAUGUCAGGGGAGGAGCCUGGUGGGAAGCGAUGUGAUCAUGGGGGAGGAUUUCCUCCAUGGUGGUCUCGUGAGCUCUCAUGAAUUCUGAUGGCUUAAAAGUGUGGCACUUCCCACCUCACUCUCUCUCUUUCUCCUGCUGCCAUGUAAGUAAGACAUACCUUGCUUCCUCUUCACCUUCCACCAUGAUUGUAAGUUUCCUGAGGUCUCCCUAGCCAUGCAGAACUAUGAGUCAAUUAAACCUCUUUUCUUUAUAAAUUACCCAGUCUCAGGUAGUUUUUUAUAUAAAAGAGUGAAAAAAAAAACUAAUACAGAAAAUUCGUACCAGAAGUGGGGUACUGUUAUAGAUACCUGAAAACAUUGAAGCAGCGUUGGAACUGGGUUACAGGCAGAGGUUUGGAGGGCUCAGAAAAAGACAGAUAGAUGUGGGAAAGUUUGGAACUUCCCAGAAACUUGUUGAAGAUGGUUUUGACCAAAAUGCUGAUAGUGAUAUGGACAAUGAAGUCCAGGCUGAGGUGAUCUCAGAUGGAGAAAAGGAACUUACAUGGAACUGGAGUAAAGGUCACUCUUGCUAUGCUUUAGCAAAGAGACUGGUGACAUUUUGCCCCUGCCCUAGAGAUCUGUGGAACUUUGAACUUGAGGGAGAUGAUUUAGGGUAUCUGGCAGAAGAGAUUUCUAAACAGCAAAGUGUUCAAGAUGUGACCUGGAUGUUUCUAAUGCAUAUAGUCAUAUACAUUAGAGACAAGAGAACAUCUAAAAUUGGAACUUAUGUUUAAAAGGGAAGCAGAGCAUUUGAAAAAUUUGCAGCCUGACACUAUGUGGUAGAAAAGAAAAACCCAUUUUCUGGGGAGAAUUUCAAGCUGCCACGUUCAGAAAUUUGCAUAUGUAAUGAGGAACCAAAAGUUAACAGUCAAAACAGUGGGGAAAAUGUCUCCAGGACCUGUUGGAGACCUUUACAGCAGGCCCUCCCAUCACAGGCCCAGAGACCUGGGAGGAAAAAGUGUUUUUGUGGGCCAAGUGCAGGGCACAGAUGCUCUGUGCAGCCUCAGGACAUGGUGCCCAGUAUCCCAGCCACUCCAGCUCCAGCCAUGACUAAAAGGGGCCAAGGUACAACUUGGGACAUGGCUUCAGAGGG
rnacentral:lncRNA from 1 species